CCUCUCGUCGUUCAAUGGAUAGGACAUAACUUUGCGGAAGUUACGAUGUAGGUUCGAUUCCUACCGAGAGGA
rnacentral:tRNA from 1 species